AUUGAACGCUGGCGGCAUGCUUUACACAUGCAAGUCGAACGGUAACAGGGAGCUUGCUCCGCUGACGAGUGGCGAACGGGUGAGCAAUGCGUCGGAACGUGCCGAGUAGUGGGGGAUAACGCAGCGAAAGUUGUGCUAAUACCGCAUACGUACUGAGGUAGAAAGUGGGGGACCUUCGGGCCUCACGCUAUUCGAGCGGCCGACGUCUGAUUAGCUAGUAGGUGAGGUAAAGGCUCACCUAGGCGACGAUCAGUAGCGGGUCUGAGAGGAUGAUCCGCCACACUGGGACUGAGACACGGCCCAGACUCCUACGGGAGGCAGCAGUGGGGAAUUUUGGACAAUGGGCGAAAGCCUGAUCCAGCCAUGCCGCGUGUCUGAAGAAGGCCUUCGGGUUGUAAAGGACUUUUGUCGGGGAGGAAAUCCCCAGCGUUAAUACCGCUGGGGGAUGACAGUACCUGAAGAAUAAGCACCGGCUAACUACGUGCCAGCAGCCGCAGUAAAAC
rnacentral:rRNA from 1 species